UUACAUGACGAUAAAGAGCAUAUUCGCUCGAUUUAACCCAGCUCGUCGAGGCGGGAGUAACGCCCCAAUUGCCCUUGAGAUUAUAUUUUGUUCUGAUCU
rnacentral:snoRNA from 1 species